rnacentral:lncRNA from 10 species
GAUCUCCCGACUUCGUGAUCCGCCCACCUGGGCUUCCCAAAGUGCUGGGAUUACAGGCGUGAGACCCCGCGCCCGGCCUAGAACCUCUACAUUUUAAAAUUUAAUGUGUGUAGUCUCACAAACCCCAAAGGCCCACGCAUCUUAUUCCUGCAGACUUCUCUCUCUGUUGCUACCAAUAGGAUAGGAGAAGAAAAAAAGAAUUAAGCAAUGGCCAAUCAGUGACUAUUCUGGGCCAAGACUUCUUACAGGAGCCCAUGGCUGUGCUAGAUGACGGGACCAGGGGCUGGACUUCAUUCAAUAUCACAAAGCAGGUGGAAUUUAGCAAGGUAUUUAAGCUGGGUUUUGAAGCUUAGGACUGAGGGUAAGAGGGUCAGGCAUCACUCUGUAAGUCUUCUUUGAAGCAUGUGAAGAAAAUCAAUCAGGUUCAUCAAAAGAGAGAAAGUCGCAUGUUGUAUUUCUCUUCUGCUACUCAUGUCUCGGCAUCAGCACCCCUGGAGGUAUGAGACAGGGCAGUAGGAAUCCUUUACACACAUAGUAGCAGCAACAGCAGCAAUGGACAGUGUCACUAACACUGAUUCCAUCAGAAGAUUGGAACAUUGGUGGUAGUGCCCCCAAUUCCUGGCAGGGGAGGAGCUUUCCCUUCUCAGCCCAUUAAGUUUGGAGGCAGAGACUACUCUUAUUGGCUCCAGAAAAGGGGGUGUGCCAAAGGCCUGGCCAAUCAGAGAGCCAUAUCAUCUGGGACAUGGGAUUGGCUCAGAGAUGAGCAGGUGAUUGCUUCAAAGCCAAUGAUAUGAGACUUCUGCUAGAACUUGAUUUGAAGUUUUCUUCAAAUCUUCAUGACUUCUAGCCAUGAAGUCAUGAAGAAAAGGCUGGAACAGCUCACUGCCAUUUUGCCACCAGGAAGAAAAAGCCAAAGUGAGCUGGAAACCACACAGCAACAGAGCUGAGGUGGAGAAAGCCCAGCCCUUAGUGGCAUAGUUUGAAUCUCUGAAUUCCACUACGUCUAAUUAUUUGUUUCUCCCUAAAUUUUUAGUAGUGUGAACCAACACAUCCCUGAAGUGCCUUAACCUUUCUGCUUAAGGAACUUUGAAUAUAUUUUCUGUCACAACCAAGAGAUUCCUAACUGAAUCCUAACUUAGAACUUUGGGGUUUGUGCAGCUUCACAAACCCCAAAGGUCCAAGUAUCUUAUUCCUACUGCUGCUACUAAUAGGAUACAAGAACAAAGAUAAUAAAGGCCAAUCGAUGACUAUUCUGAGCCAAGACUCCUCACAGGAGCUCAUGGCUGUGCUAGAUGGGCUUCUUAUGAUGACUAGUUGAUGAAAAUAGUAGGAGCAAGUAAUAAACUGCAAAUAAUGUGUAUAUGUGUGUAAGAAAAUCUACCAACAUGUCAACAGUGAUUAUCUCUGAAUUAUGAAGUUGUGAAGUUUUUUUCUUUAAAUACAUUCUAGAAUAUUUCAAAUUUUCCAGAAAGAUCACAUAUUAAUUUUUUUUUGACAGAGUCUUGCUCUGUUGCCCAGGCUGGAAUGCAGUGGUGUGAUGUGGGCUCACUGCAACCUCUGCCUCCCGGGUUCAAGCAGUUCUCCUGCCUCGGCCUCCCGAGUAGCUGGGACUACAGGCACGUGCCACCAUGCCUGGCUAAUUUUUGUAUUUUUAGUAGAGAUGGGUUUCACCAUGUUGGCCAGGCUAGUCUCGAACUCCUGGCCUCAAGAGAUCCAUCUGCUUCGGCCUCCCAAAGUGCUGGGAUUACAGGCAUGAGUCACCGCACCUGGCCCACAUAUUAAUUUUAAAUAACAAUGCAAAGGAGAUUAAAGAGCUCUUGGUUUUCCUUCUUCAGUGACACAAGCAAAAGCCCAUAUGGCCUUUUCCACAACAUCAGGAGACAUUUCACAGAUUCCCCUGACAAUUUCAGAUGGAGACCAGUGAGCUCAAGUUACAGGUUAAUCUUGUGUUUAGUUAGAUAAUGGAAGAGGAAACUUGGCCAUCGAGUAGUUUAAAGACUAGCAUUCGAGGCUGGGCACGGUGGCUCAUGCCUGUAAUCCGAGCACUUUGGGAGGCUGAGGCAGGCGGAUUACCUGACGUUGGGAGUUGAAGACCAGCCUGACCAACAUGGAGAAACUAAAAAUACAAAAAAUUAGCCGGGCAUGGUGGCACAUGCCUGUUAUCCCAGCUACUCGGGAGGCUGAGGCAGGAGAAUCGCUUGAACCUGGGAGGCAGAGGUUGUGGUGAACAGAGAUCACACCAUUGCACUCCAGCUUGGGCAACAAGAGCAAAGCUCUGUCUGAAAAAAAAAAAAAAAAAAUAAAAAAGACUAACAUUCAAAUUCCUGACUUUGUGUCUGCGAAACAGAGAACUGGUCAGCUGACUGACUCUUUGCUAAUCCCUAAGAGAGAAACUGAGAUGGUUGCCCACAGGUGGUGAUUCCUGAGAGGCUGGGGCAGAAAGUGACGGGCAUCCUGACAGCAGAAAACUGAAGGACCUUCAUGAAACCAUCCUCCACAUCACAAAGGUAAGACACGCCUUUUGCCUUCUGCCUUCCGCCAUACUUGUGAGGCCUCCCCAGCCAUGUGAAACUGUGAGGCUGGAACUACGCUCACCACAUGGACAGGCGUGAUCUCUGUACAUAUGAGCCAACACAGUUACAUGACUGGAUGCCUCCUC